AGAAGUUCCUUUAUUUGAGGAUAAUUUUUCAUGAACAUCAUUAUCAUGUUUUGACAUUUAUUAAAUAUUUGCUUGUUUGGAAGAGACAAUUCGUCAUUUAAAAACCUCAACAUUCAAUCGACUGUAUUGCUUAGGCAGGCAGAAGAAUAAAUGAAAUUAAGGCAUUUGUUCUUCUAAAUUAUUAGGUAAUCUCAUGUUCUUCAUCCGCGUAUGUAAUGUUACUCUUUAAUCUUCUCCAAAAUAUGUUCUUAUCUGUCAGCUCAUUUCAUUUGACCCUCCAGACCACUGUAGGAAAUUGUUUGAUAUAUAUAUACAUAUAUUUUUUUACCGUCGAGGAAACUUAGACACAAAAGACACAUACCCAGCUUUAGUGUCUUGCCCAAGAAUUCAAGGCUGUCCAGUGUUGGCUGUCCAAAGAGGAGCUAGAGACACAUUAAAUGCCGUGUCAUCUGCAACCAAGCACAUGAAGUAUUCCCAGAAGUGAAAAAAUAUAAUUCAGUUGUCUCCUGCCUGGGUUUCCAUCUGGACUUCAUCAUGCAACAAUGAGAAAAGAGCACGGAAUUGAGCUAUUCUACCUUUAUUUUGUUUCUGAUUACAUCCAAUUUCCUCUGUCUGAAGAACCGCCUGAAACAUUUCUCACAGAGAACGUGGUCCCAAUCCGGACCCCAGAGAAAGAUCUUGGAUCUCAUGCAAGACAGAAUUCAGGGAACAUGGAUGAAGCUGGAGGCUAUUAUCUUUAACAAACUAAUGCAGGAACAAAAAACCAGAUACUGUAUGUUCUCACGUAUAAGUGGAGCUUAAUGAUGAGAACUCAUGAUUACAAAAAGAGUACAACAGACACUGGGGUCUAUUUGAAGGUGGAGGGUAGAAGAAGGGAGAGGAGAAGAAAAGAUAACUAUUCAUCAUCUGAGUGAUAAAAUCAUCUGUACAAAAAAACCCAUGACAUGAGUUGACCUAUGUAACAAACCUUUGCAUGAACAUUAGAACCUAAAAUAAACAUUUUUUUA